rnacentral:rRNA from 1 species
AAUCAACGCUGGCGGCGUGCCUAACACAUGCAAGUCGUACGAGAAAGAGGGGGCAACCCCUUGAGUACAGUGGCGUACGGGUGAGUAACACGUGACUAACCUACCUUCGAGUGGGGAAGUAACCUCGGGAACCGGGGCGUAAGACCGCAUAAUAUCUUUGGGUUAAAUUCCUGAUGAUCAAAUGCGCAAGCAGCUUGAAGAGGGGGUCGGCGUUGAUUAGCUAGUUGGUGGGGUAA